UACGAGGGGGGCGAGCGUUGUUCGGAAUUAUUGGGCGUAAAGGGUGCGUAGGCGGUUUGGUAAGUCUGAUGUGAAAUCUAUGGGCUCAACUCAUAGUCUGCAUCGGAAACUGCCGGGCUUGAGUAUGGGAGAGGUGAGUGGAAUUCCUGGUGUAGCGGUGAAAUGCGUAGAUAUCAGGAGGAACACCUGCGGUGUAGACGGCUUUCUGGACCAUUGUUGACGCUGAGACACGAAAGCGUGGGUAGCAAACAGG
rnacentral:rRNA from 1 species